rnacentral:misc_RNA from 1 species
UUUCCGUAGGUGACCCUGCGGAAGGAUCAUUAUUGUAUAGCCGAGGUGCGAGGGCUGUCGCUGACCCGAAAGGUCGUGCACGCCCGAGUGCCCUCACACACAUCCAUCUCACCCCUAUGUGCACCACCGCGUGGGUCCCCCUUUGGCUUGUUCGGAGGGGGGCUUACGUUUUCACACAAACUUUGUAUGCAGUGUAGAAUGUAUUUUUUGUUUUUGCGAUCACGCAAUCAAUACAACUUUCAACAACGGAUCUCUUGGCUCUC